CUUAAUCUUCUGAUUCUCGAGACGCCAGACACUCUCGUACCUCACAGAAUCUCGCAUGGAGAAAACGAUUUGCAAUCGUCUUUGGCGUCAUCAUAUGACAUAUAGAAUUAAGUACCGUACAUAUAAUGCAGGCAACAGACUAACGGAGAUAUGUGCUUUUACUUCGAUUAUGCAACCAACACUUCUAUAUCAUCUGAAAAUCAGUAUUUUUAUGAUAUACUCAUCAGGUCUGCAACUGGAUCAUGCAGUCGUCUAGACCAGGUAACAGCGUUUUUGCAGAAGUUUAAAAAUGAGAUGUUCCCUCCCAACUAUGGAUAUGGUGAAACUAACUUUCUGCAAUUUCAGUAAACUGCUGACACACAUCGCAAAGGAGCAAAAGGAGUGUGAAUCCAAGAUAUCCAGGCAAGAGUUACUUCUGCAACUGGUUUCAAGUGCAAGAAGGUAAAACUGAUAAUUCAUGGUGACGCUAAGCUGUAUAGAUAUAUGACGCAUUGCAUUUC